GUUCCAUAAAGGAACUCCUCAUAGGAGCUCUCACCCGGGAAACCAACAUCAACACAAAACUCCCAACUGUGCACUGAACUAAUUAUCUCCAGAAGACCCAAUCUGAGAUGCCCAGACACCUAAGUCUAUACCUAGACUCCCAGAUCUCUCUCCAGGGACAAGCCAGAAAAUGCCUCAGACACAGCAUUCCUCAGCCAAACAGCGAUUUGCAAAGAACAUUUUGGAACAAUCAGUUUGACCAUCUAAACUUCCCUGCCAGAUGCAAUCACUGGAGAGAAAGAAGGGGUAUUCUCAUUUCUACAAGCAUCUUGAUGUAGUCUGCUGUCCAGGAAGGUAAGAACUGGCUUCAAGUGCCAUUGCCUAUUUUAGGACUGAUUUGUAAUAGUGAGCCAACGCAGGCAAGACUCCCCACACAAUGCCGGGAGCAACAAAAGAAGAGAAAAGCUGCGUCUGGGCUGAAUUUCUUUCAUUUCUCCAUCUAACUUCCAGAGGUCUCUUCGCCUCUGACACCACGAACUUGACUCUGGUUUUCCCUUUCUAUUCCUCUCCCCACAAAGCAAUCUCAACUACUCUACUUUUUAAUUCUUCACCAAGAAACAUUAAUCGAGAAUUUAAACACUGGGCUUCACACAAUGUAUUUAACACGUUAACGUUAAUUCCUGCUUAUAUCAUUUAACCUGGUACUGAGCUGAAAAUGCUUCAGGAUGGAGGGCAUUCAAAUGAUUCUGGCUCAAUUAUGCUCUAUGUAAUUAAAGAGACAUAUAUAAAUGGGACAAGGGCAAAGGCUCCUGUCAAUGCCACUUUGCUGACUUUUCACGGAAAUGUUAACAAAGGGUUCUUUCGUCUAAAGAAAAAUUUAACCGAUAUUAAUCUGUACGGGGAGUUUAUCAUAACCCAUGCUUUGAAAUUUUCUUAAUGGCCUAAUGAAGUAAUACAAACAAGGGGAAGAGCUCUAUUUCACAUAAACAACUGACUAAAGGAUCAGCUUUCUGAAGCAGGCACUGUAUCCACACUCUAACCUGAGAAACUGAGGCUUCAAGAAAUUCAGACACUUGCUUAAGAUCACACAGCUGCAAAGAGGGAGAGCCAAGAAUGAAGAUCCAUGGGACUCCAACGUCCGUGUUCUUUGUACUCCGUGGGUAAGUUCUGGCACUGUAUCUUAAAUCCUUUUGCCUCACAAGAGUGAACCUCCACAUUAAAAUGUCAUGAAGGAUUAGACAUCUAAUUAGUUUUGUAAUCAGAGUUUUAAGCAAGGUUUCUUUGGACUAUGUAAUAACAGUGGCAAAGAUUAGAGUGUCUAUUAUACCGUGAAGGGUAUCAUAAGAGUAUUACGCCCCUGACAGGAACGGGGUGAUGGUUAAGAUCUCGGACUGCACAGUCAGAACCUGAGGUGAGUUUCCUCAUCCCCAGAAUGGGCAUAAUAAUGGUUUCUCCUCACAUCACGGGGUUAUUAUAAAGCAUGAAUGAGAUAGACAACCGCCGACCAGUGCCUCAGUACAGUGUCCGGCCAACAGACUUGCUCACAAGACGAACAGGGCACAGUGUGUGGUGAACGCUAUGACACUGAGCACUGAGGGCCCUGGUCCUCUUUAGCCUCGUAAAUUACUCUGCCCCAAAGUCCAAGGAAAUCCCAAAUUAACUCAGUCCAUCUAAGGCAAGUUUGGGAGAGCCUCAAGUUAAGCAAAAUACGAUAGUUAUGUAUUCAUCAUACCAUCUGGCCGUACGAUGGGAAUUCUUCCACGUAUGUGUCUCUGUUUUCCCCCCAAAGUCUGGAGACAGAGUGGCACGUUCUAGGAGGGCUGGUUAAGUGCCAACAGAUAGUCGGUAUUUUAGAGAUGGUAGCAGGACGACAAGUAAACACAAUAGGAGCAGCUGGGGUUGAACCUUCAGUGCAGUGAGCUAGGACGGGCAAGUGAUACUGUCCCGGUGGGAUACGGGGACAAGGAGGGGAAGUCAGACACAUGACGUACCCAGGCCUUGAGGGAGGUGGCCAUGAGAGAACGGGGAAACAGGUGUUGGCUCACAACGGGACAGGACAAACAGUAAGUCCAAAAACGUGUGGACUUGGAUAGGGACAGCAAACCUAGAAGAUGCUGGGGAGAUGGAAAGGGAGGGGUAACUGGCGACCACUGAGGCAUGUGGACUGCUCCACAUUCUACCAGAUCAGUGGGUCCUGAUGGGCUGGGAAGAAAAGGUGAAAAACGGGAAAAUCAGCAACAAAAAUGUUGGUGACAUGGCAUCUCCUUGGCCGCUUUCCCUAGAACUGCCCCUAUCCUGUUCCUCUUCUCUGGUGGCCUGUGUCUCUUUCCUUCAGGAGCCAGGACCCAGGAGACAGGCAUGUCUCACCAACAGCCUGGGCAGCAGAUGGAAAACGAUGCCUCCAGUCAUUCUCUGGACCCCAGAUACAGCACGGGCUCCUUGGGGUGGGGGGGUGGGGCUGGAAGCUCUAACAGAUCCUCAGCUCCCCAGCCUCCACCCAAGAACACAGCUCACUGCUGGGUCUCUAGGGCAGGGGAGGACCUCUUGGGGAGGUGCUUAGGUCUUUAGGAUUAAGAAAGAACAGAGAUAUAUUAGCCUUGGAGAAGGAGAUGUGGGCACCAAGCCCUAAAUAAAUGGCAUGAAAAGUCCACAUAACUUACACCAUUAAGUCAGCAGAAAUGGAAACUCAAUGUUCACGUAACACCCUAGUUGAUUUCUCUGAAAAUAAGCUUUGCUAUCAUAUUCGAACAAGUAACUACUGGAUCAAUGUUUAAAUUGUCCAAAACACAAUCUGCUCAAAUUUCAACUCAAGGUCUAAGUGGACAAUAUGGGAGGAAAAGUCAACGGUGGAAAAGGCAAAAAUCAAAUUUACUUUGUCAAAGUCACCUUACACGGUGGCUGGGGGGGGGGGGGAGUCUUUGUUUUUUAAGUGUCCAAGGACAUGAAGUGUCUCCUACAGGAAAAGUCCCUUUUCCUUAGUAUUACUCUGUCACCACCCUCCUCCAAACAAUCUGGCCUCAGAAGCUUGGAUGUGUGCCAUCUCCUAAUCCAUGCGGUGGCCUCCAGAGCCCAUCCAUGCCACUGUCAACGUGGAUUCUUUCUAAACACUCCUUUCUGCCCAGUGACGGGUGUUCCCCAAUCACUGGUGUUGUGGGACUCACAGCCGAGAACUGGCUGGACUGGAAAGCUGCCCAGCGGGUUCUGAGAACUGUAAUUGACUGACCGCCAGUCUAUGUAACUGGGGUGACAGGACACCUCUCAGCCUCGGAUUAUGCAAAGCUUUCAGAGAGUCCCACAGCUGGGAAACAGCUCUGUCUGUGCACUAGUCACAAGAAAGCACAAAAAUGUACAGUGGUGGGGGCUGGGAGACCAGGAGGCAGAGCUGGCUGCCAGAAAUUCCCUACUGAAGAGAUGAGGGUAUCUUCACUUCCUUACACCGAAAUGUGUUUGUCCUCUUUGCCAUUCAAACUAUGUUUCUAAUGGCUGGCUGGGGUCAAUCUCCUCCCUGUAACUCAACCUCCAGCUCUAAAGAAGGGAUAUUCUUGGGGGAAGAACAGGGGAGGACUGUUCAAGCCUCAAACUGAAGGCAGUCAUGAGGUUGAUGCAAACGAACUGAAAAUGGAUGAGAGGCGCCCGGGUGGCUUAGUCAGUUAAGACCCACUCAGGUCACAAUCUUGCGGUUCGUGGGUCAGGCCCCAUCGGGCUCUUUGCUGACAGCUCAGAGCCUAGAGGUUGCUUCGGAUUCUGCGUCUCCCUCUCUCUCUCUGCCCCUCCCCUGCUCAUGCUCAGACUCUAUCUCAAAAAUAAACAUUAAAAAAGAAAUGUAUGAGACAGUCAAUGUAAGUAUCAGUGGUGUGCAUCUGUCACCAAAAUAGAAGUAAGCAAAGAUGAGAAAGGCAAAGAGGACGGAAAAACAGGUGGAAAGAAAUACAAAAAGAGCUUCUCUGAAGUCAUACUAUCUACAGAAUAGUAUACAUAAACCCAUCCAUAGGCCAAACAAGUUAUUUUUGAAAAACAGUAUAGAGAAACAGUCCCGAGGUUCAAAGGUACAUAAGUAGUGUCUACUGUGCAAUUUUACUUAAAUAACGUAAGAAAUCCCUAAAAAUUUACUUCUUUAUUCCCAUGAGUUUCAUUUCAAGUCUGCACCUUUAACUUUUAUCAACUCCUGUCUCUCUUGGUGAACAUCUACAAGCAAGCCUUCACCGGAAAACUAACAAACAAGAACAAACUUCAUUUAAGGAGCUACCAAACUGUCACAUUUCCAUAGGGAUCUGUUUUAUGUUCUGUGUGUUCUACACCAGACCUAUGAAAAUGGGAGUCACGGCAUGGGAAGAACACACUUCAUCAACAUGGACCAGAAGCCAUCAAACCAACUAGAAGGAGCCAAAGGAAGAGGAUGGGAGAUGUUUAAUCUUCCAGGCCUCGGUUUCUCCGCCUGUAAUAUGGAAGCUGGAUUCCCCAGGCAACCAACAGUGAAGGAUGACUGAACUUGGAGAUGGAAGGAAUCUGGGUCUCUCAAUUACCAUGUGGAAGCAAGGGAAGCGACAGGCCACCCUCCCUCAGGACACUUCCCGGACGUGGAGCCAAAGUAAACCAACGGAGCUUCUCCAGAGGAUGCUUCAAGGCUACGGCAAACGCUGGCUAUUGCAGACAAAGGAACGGGCCAGUGGGAGAUGUUUUUGUUUAAGUACCUAAGACAGUCACAAAUUCUACCGCAAGUAUCACCAUCGGCUCUGUUUGCACAGACAAACAAAUCUCUGAAAUCUACCUUUUUAAAUGGAGGGUGGGUAUCAGGAUCUCUUUCCUGGAACACGUUUUCUCAGGUUUUCGCUUUUCUCCUCAGUAUUCGUCCUUAGUUCUCAAUUUAAAUGUCCCCUCACCAGCAGGCCUUCUCUGAUCUAAAGAGGGUCACGUCUGAAGUUCCCUUUCUUACAUCCUGUUUGUUUGCUUGUUUGUUUGUUUAACAUCUAUUUCUUUUGAGAGAGAGAGAGAGGGGGAGAGAGUGCGCAUACGCGUGCGCACACACCCAAGUGGGGAAGGGGCAGAGAGAGAGCAAAAGAGAGAAACCCCAGCAGGCUCCUCACUGUCUGCACAGAGCCGGAUGUGGGGCUCAAUCCCACAAACUGUGAGAUUAUGACCUGAGUUGAAAUCAAGGGUUGGCUGCUUAAUCCACUGAGUCGCCCAGGUGUCCUGAUCCUUGUUUAGUUUAUUCAGAGUGAUUAUGGCCAGUAUCAUUAGUCUUCCCCCCACCCCAUUCAUCCUCCUGCUAAAAGGUAAGUUCCAUGAGAGCUCACUAUGUACCUAUAGCCUUUAUCCCAGAACCUGAAAUAUAUCAGGUGCUCAAUAAAUAUUUGAAGUGUGGAUAAAUGAUUCAAACGUCUUUCUUUACCCUUGCUCCCAAAUAGAGACUAUACUUUUUAUCUGAGAAGACAUCCUAUUUACAACUUAAUUUUAAAUAAUGCUCACAGCUCCAUCAACAGUAAGUUUGUGGCUGGUCACGUCAGUGCUACUACUAAAGAUGGGAGAGCAUCCAGCUCUGUUAAGUCCUAUCAGUGAGACCUGGGGCAAGUUGUUUAGGUCUCUGAGCCUUGGUGUCCUUAUCUGUAUAAUGGGGGUCACGUUCAUUGGGAGGAUAAUAUAGAACAUACUCUAGAAGCAUUGGGAAAACUCUUUAGAGUUACGCCAUGUAGGGGGAUUGCUUUCAAUAUACUGUCUAUUAGAAGGUAGAACUUUAAGAUGCUGUUGCAACCCCGUGGCUUAGGCUCCCUCAGAAGGGAGCUUUGGAGGAGCAUUUGUGUGAAAGUGAUUCAUUAGGCAGUGCAUCCAGGGAAAAAGAAUGGAAGGGUAGAGUCAAACAAGGAUACCAUAUUAUGUACCGUCUUACUGAAGGUGACUCAGUCCCAUGGGGGAGUUCUGGACACAGCAAGGCUCCUGCCUCAGUUGUCCCAAAUGGGGGGAAGCCCAAUGCCCCUCUCUCAGUGGAUAGGAGCUGCCCCCGGGAGCUGGGGUGCAGGAAUUCCCAGGUACAUCUACUUCAGGAAAGAAAAGCAGGCUCCAGCAGCCGGAGGGCAGGAUAGUAUUCCAAGAACUAGUCAGCACAGAAAUGGUAAAAGGAUUAAGGGGAGAGUAAACAGGGACAGCACAUUCACUAGGAAAUUCCUGUCUCAAUCACAGACUAUUGUCCUUGGCAAUAGGGUUCGUGUUAUGAGAUGAGAUUUGGUUUGAGUACACUACCACCUUGUAUUCAGGCAGCAUUUCUCACUUCUCUUUGAAGUGCUUCUCCACAUAACUCAUGAGACAGGAGAGCUGAGAGCCGGCUUGGUCGGAUCACGUGCGAACCAUAAAAAAGUACAUUUUCAAGGGCAAUAGGUUAAAUAAAGGAAUGAGGUUCACCGGUUUUACAACCAUGAGUGGUUUCUAUUUUUCAAUAAGUCAAACCCUUUAGAAGACAUGGCUGAAUGGGCAAAAAGCCCUCUCGGGGAAAUGCAUGCUUUUACAGUUUGAUUUUCUUUGGGGUAAGGGGGGAAAAUGCAAGCUGUAGUUUAAAACUAUUCAUUUCAGCAUGACCCUGAAAAAAAAAAAAAACAAAAAAAACAAAACUUGCAGUACUUUUGUGACAGAGGAUAUUUUGUAAAAUAUGCUGUGAAAGUGUUAUUUUGGGAUUUGAAGUGUUUUCCAUAAUCAACUCUAUCUAACUGGAAACAUACAAGCUUCUUUACAGGACUAAUAUGGUUUCUUUCCUUUUCCAUCCACUAGAAUGCUCCAAGUUUACUGUCAACAGCUGACUCGCAGGGAUGCCACAGGCCAGGAGCAAGCUGUCACUGUAUUAGCCUCUGGCUUGUCCUUGGCAUGGAGAAGCCCUUCUCUUUUCCCUCUGUCUACAUGGAAGCUUCAUGGCUCAGUGGAAAGAGACCAGGUUUGGACACAGGCACAAUUCAGCCUAGGUUGGUAAACUCGGGCCAAUGUACAAA